rnacentral:rRNA from 1 species
AACGAACGCUGGCGGCGUGCCUAACACAUACAAGUCGUGCGAGAAAGUUCCUUCGGGAGCGAGUAAAGCGGCGCACGGGUGAGUAACACGUAGGUAACCUGCCCCCCAGUCUGGAACAACUAGAGGAAACUCUAGCUAAUGCCGGAUGAGACCACGAUCCCUUCGGGGGUUGCGGCCAAAGAUGGCCUCUACUUGUAAGCUAUCGCUGAGGGAUGGGCCUGCGGGCCGUUAGCUUGUUGGUGAGGUAACGGCUCACCAAGGCUGUGAUGGCUAGCUGGUCUGAGAGGAUGACCAGCCACACUGGGACUGAGACACGGCCCAGACUCCUACGGGAGGCAGCAGUGGGGAAUAUUGCGCAAUGGGCGAAAGCCUGACGCAGCGACGCCGCGUGGGUGAUGAAGGCCU